GACGAACGCUGGCGGCGUGCCUAAUACAUGCAAGUCGAACGCAUUUUCUUUCACCGUAGCUUGCUACACCGAAAGAAAAUGAGUAGCGAACGGGUGAGUAACACGUGGGUAACCUGCCCAUCAGCGGGGGAUAACACUUGGAAACAGGUGCUAAUACCGCAUAAUUCCAUUUACCGCAUGGUAAAUGGAUGAAAGGCGCUUUUGCGUCACUGAUGGAUGGACCCGCGGUGCAUUAGCUAGUUGGUGGGGUAACGGCCUACCAAGGCUGCGAUGCAUAGCCGACCUGGGAGUGUGAUCGGCACCAUUGGGAAUGAGACACGGCUCAGACUCCUACGGGAGGCAGCAGUAGGGAAUCUUCGGCAAUUGAUGCGAGUCUGAACGAGCAACGCCGCGUGAGUGAAGAAGGUUUUCGGAUCGUAAAACUCUGUUGUUAGAGAAGAACAAGGAUGAGGGUGGAAAGUUCAUCCCUUGACGGUAUCUAACCAGAAAGCCACGGCUAACUACGUG
rnacentral:rRNA from 1 species